UUAGAAUCUGGGACGCAGUUUGCAACUAGGGUGAACUUCUGUAGAUUGUGGCAGCAUCACUACUCCUCUGCUUGCAUAGUAAGAACGUGUGAUCUUGCAGUAUUUGUGUACGGAUUAUACCGGCGUUUGUUUUCUUUCAAAGAGACGGAGGGCUGCGGCUCUGCCGCCGGCGGCAUCACGCCCUCCAGUAGACGUAGGAAUGCGAGGUACGGAAGGAGGCGCGGCGCUAUGGCUUUUAUAGGCGCAGUUUGCACUUUAAUGAUCCACAAAAGCACAUCGCCGCAGCUGUGAUGUCCGGCUCCCCCUCGGCCAACAACCUCCGCCGGCAGGCAUAACCAUGGCGGGAUCCAAGCUGGACUGUCAAAGUGACGCUGUGAGGGACACUCCAGCAGCAGCAGAAACCCAGAGCGCAUCUAGAUGUACAUCUUCGCUAAGGAAAAGGCUUUCAUUAUUAGGGAUUAAUGGAAAUGGCAGUUUUGUGAUGGCCCUCGCACUGAUACGCAGAUGAAGACACGCAAGCCAUCUUGUUCCCGUGCCUGAUGAACUCCAGACAGACUGGAAGCCACAGUAAAUACAGACGUCUUCGCACGUUCCCAUGGGGACACAUUGACAAAUAUUCCUCAAUGGAGCGUGAAUCUCGCGUUUUGCUUGGGACGCAGUGAAGUGUCUCCUCUUCGCUUCCAGGCUGGAAAUUGAUUCUACAUACGCUCUGUAACCUUGUAAACAAGAUACCCGCUACGACCAGACAUGCCAGUGAGUCUGCAGGGAAACAUAAUGGUUUGCAGCUCAGAGACACUGAGUGAGCGCGGCGUUCUGAGAAGUCACUUUGAAGGAUAUGUCAGAAAACCAUUUAAGCAUAGAAGGAAGCCAGAUCGUACCGCUGUCAGCAUUGUGACGCGCUUAUAAAGCCGCAAGGCGGUGCCUGCCUGUCAUUAAUUCUGCUUAACACAGGCCACAACAUGCUGCCGUCUGUUCGUGAGAAAACCAAUCACAGGGUUGCUAGAAAAAGUGAUCUGUCACCUGGAACUUGCCUAACACUCCAACUAUGGCCUCUUCUUCUAUUUCCAGCAUAAUACUUUUUCCAUCCCUUGCAAACACGUGGCAUGUUAUACAUUUUGUGAGGAAUUCCACUCGAUGCCAGUACACCCAUCAAGUGACAUAGGCGGCUGCUUAGGGUGCCAUCUUCUGAGGGGGGUGCUGAUUUAUGUUGGGUGCCAUUUGCAACAAAGUGAAAUUGCUGGGGGGCGGGGGGUUUGAAGCUUGCCUAGAGCGCUACUUGGGCUCCGACCAGCACUGAUUGCACGCCACGUCAACAAGCAAGCACAAUGACUGCUAAUUCUUUAAUCUACACUGUUUUAGGUGCUGUGUGCUGAGCAAUCAGCACCACCCUUGCAUUGCAAUAGCUGUAGGACAUCAGUAAAAUAGCCAUUGCUUAAUUGUAAAUGACUUUUUGAGUUGAAGGUGUGGCGGGUAAUAAGCGAUUGCAUUGAGUUAUUACUGGCUUAUGGCAAGUGUGUGAAAGUUCAAUUUGCAUAUCACCUCUUGUGUUGUCAUUUAUUUGUAUCUUCUUCAGAAAAUAAAGCAAAGAUUUUCA